rnacentral:rRNA from 1 species
UACAGAGGUCUCAAGCGUUGUUCGGAUUCAUUGGGCGUAAAGGGUUCGUAGGCGGUGCGGCAAGUCGGAAGUGAAAUCUCUGGGCUUAACUCAGAGGCUGCUCCCGAAACUGCCGUGCUUGAGUGCGGGAGAGGCGAGUGGAAUUGCAGGUGUAGCGGUGAAAUGCGUAGAUAUCGGGAGGAACACCUGUGGCGAAAGCGGCGCACUGGACCAUAACUGACGCUGAUGCGCGAAAGCUAGGGGAGCAAACAGG